rnacentral:rRNA from 1 species
AUUGAACGCUGGCGGCAUGCCUUACACAUGCAAGUCGAACGGUAACAGGUCUUCGGAUGCUGACGAGUGGCGAACGGGUGAGUAAUACAUCGGAACGUGCCCGAGAGUGGGGGAUAACGAGGCGAAAGCUUUGCUAAUACCGCAUACGAUCUCAGGAUGAAAGCAGGGGACCGCAAGGCCUUGCGCUCACGGAGCGGCCGAUGGCAGAUUAGGUAGUUGGUGGGAUAAAAGCUUACCAAGCCGACGAUCUGUAGCUGGUCUGAGAGGACGACCAGCCACACUGGGACUGAGACACGGCCCAGACUCCUACGGGAGGCAGCAGUGGGGAAUUUUGGACAAUGGGCGCAAGCCUGAUCCAGCCAUGCCGCGUGCAGGAUGAAGGCCUUCGGGUUGUAAACUGCUUUUGUACGGAACGAAAAGACUCUGGUUAAUACCUGGGGUCCAUGACGGUACCGUAAGAAUAAGCACCGGCUAACUACGUGCCAGCCGCCGCGGUAAGAC